GCCAUAGUAGCUCAACGGUUAAGUGAUUGGCUGCUAACCAAAUGGUUGGCAGUUCAAACCUGCCCAGUAGCU
rnacentral:tRNA from 1 species